rnacentral:misc_RNA from 1 species
CAGCCGCGUAAUUCCAGCUCCAAUAGCGUAUAUUAAAGUUGUUGCAGUUAAAAAGCUCGUAGUUGAAUUUCGGGAUCAAUAUUUCGGUCAUGCCGUUGGUAUGCACUGUUAUCAUUGAUUUCUCACCUUCUAAAGAACCGUAAUGCCAUUAAUUUGGUGUUACGGGGAAUUAGGACUGUUACCUUGAAAAAAUUAGAGUGUUUAAAGCAGGCUCACGCUUGAAUACAUUAGCAUGGAAUAAUGAAAUAGGACAUCCGAUUCUAUUUUGUUGGUUUCUAGGAUCGAUGUAAUGAUUAAUAGGGAUAGUUGGGGGCAUUAGUAUUCAAUUGUCAGAGGUGAAAUUCUUGGAUUUAUUGAAGACUAACUACUGCGAAAGCAUUUGCCAAGGAUGUUUUCAUUAAUCAAGAACGAAAGUUAGGGGAUCGAAGACGAUCAGAUACCGUCGUAGUCUUAACCAUAAACUAUGCCGACUAGGGAUCGGAUGAUGUUAAUUUUUUAAUGACUCAUUCGGCGCCUUACA